rnacentral:rRNA from 1 species
GAUGAACGCUGGCUACAGGCUUAACACAUGCAAGUCGAGGGGAAACGACGGGGAAGCUUGCUUCCCCGGGCGUCGACCGGCGCACGGGUGAGUAACGCGUAUCCAACCUGCCUCUGACUGAGGGAUAACCCGUCGAAAGUCGGCCUAAUACCUCAUGGUAUCGUCUGCGGGCAUCCAACGACGAUUAAAGAUUUCAUCGGUCAGGGAUGGGGAUGCGUCUGAUUAGCUUGUUGGCGGGGUAACGGCCCACCAAGGCUACGAUCAGUAGGGGUUCUGAGAGGAAGGUCCCCCACAUUGGAACUGAGACACGGUCCAAACUCCGACGGGAGGCAGCAGUGAGGAAUAUUGGUCAAUGGGCGAGAGCCUGAACCAGCCAAGUAGCGGGCAGGAAGACGGCCCUAUGGGGUGGAAACUGCUUUUAUGCGGGGAUAAAGUGAGGGACGUGUCCCUCAUUGCAAGGACCGCAUGAAUAAGGACCGGCUAAUUCCGU